GCGUUCGUGGUGUAGCGGUAACAUUGGGCCUUCCCAUCCUCUGGAAACGCGUUUCUCCUCUUAACCCAGGUGCAACACGUCUCUUGGUUGACCUAGCUCCGGGUUCGACUCCCGGCGGACGCA